rnacentral:rRNA from 1 species
AACGAACGCUGGCGGCAGGCCUAACACAUGCAAGUCGAACGGGUCCUUCGGGACUAGUGGCGGACGGGUGAGUAACGCGUGGGAACGUGCCCUUUGCUUCGGAAUAGCCCCGGGAAACUGGGAGUAAUACCGAAUGUGCCCGAGAGGGGAAAGAUUUAUCGGCAAAGGAUCGGCCCGCGUUGGAUUAGGUAGUUGGUGGGGUAAUGGCCUUCCAAGCCGACGAGCCAUAGCUGGUUUUAGUGGACGUUCAGCCACACUGGGCCUGAGACACGGACCAGCGUGCUACGGGAGGCAGCAGUGGGGUAUUUUAGAGAAUGGGGGAAACCUUGCUAUGGCCAUGCCGCGUGAUCGAUGAAGGCCUUAGGGUUGUAAAGAUCUUUCAGGUGGGAAGAUAAUGACUGUACCACCAGAAGAAGCCCCGGCUAUCUCCGUGCCAGCAGCCGCGGUAAAAC